ACUGUACCAAAAGCAAUAUAAAUGGUACUUUAAAUUGGGCCCAGAUAGGCACGUUUGACCUAACACGUGUAUUGCUCUUUAUUGUUUAGGGCAGAGGCGCACGCGUACUAGUGAUUUUGUUCAUCUUGAAAGAAAAAAAGCAAAGCGCUGAUUUUGGAAAGUGAAGAAAUUGUUGUUCAUCUUCAAUAUCCGGUGAAACUUAACUUAAGUCGCUCUCCUUUCCUUUCCUUUCCUCUUUUAUUUCCCAGUGGUAUCUAACGGCUACGUAUGGUUUUAUUUUAGCUCUUAUUUGUCGAUUUUUCUUUCCAUUUUGCUGAUUUAUUUGGCUUUUGGGUUGUAGUAACGUUGCAUGUUGCCACUUGCCACUGCUGCUCCUUUUGUUAAUUCUUGGUCAUUGAAAUUUAGUUUUUGAUCUUGACGUGGGCGUUUUUCCAAUUUAUGCAUUUACUUCGAGCCGAGGAGAAAGGAGAGAAUUGCAAACAUGAGAUAUGCAGGGAUGGAGCAUAGGAAGCUUCAUAUUAAAAAACCCGAAAGGUUCCCAUGAAAAACUUGAGUGUGUUUUGGAAGCUUGAAGGACAAAUUAUGUUAUUCUUUGGAGUCAUCAUCGGAGGAGUGAUAAAAUGACGAUUUGUGUCCUAAAGUAGAUGUAGUUUCUGAUUUUUUUUUAUUUUUUAUUUGACUUCUUAUGGCGUGAAACCCUCCGUUCUUGAUUUUGUGAUUGUUAUCUCUAGAAGAAUAUGCGACUGUACAAAAGAAAAUGAAGGAUUGAAAAGUAGAAUGUGGAGGUGUGUAAGUUAAGUUGUGCAAGGAAUUAAGAUUUGGAGGUGUGUAAGUAAUGCAGUUAUGAUAUUUUAUUUUAUCUGAAAUUUUUUGAUGCAGUUCUUCUUAUUCAGGUCGUAGUUAGAAGUUUGGGGGAAGAGCUCUUUGUGUAGUUAUAGACUUAACGCAGAUGAACAACAAGAACAAGAAGGGCGAUAAAUGACGAGGGUUACAACACCAGAUUAGCAAAUCACUUAAAACAUUUGGCACACGCUGUGAAUGGGCUGUAACUUAUUUUCAAACAGUACGUUGACAGAAGUGCAGAAUACAAAGGCAUUUUUAGUGGUGGUGAUCAAUCAUAAAGAAGUGCGAAGGAUUGUUAUGCUGAUCUGGAAGUUUUUGAUCACCUCGAUGUUUAGAUUUAUAGGGGCUGAGUUGCAUCAAGUCGUCAAUGUGUGUGGAAUAGGCAUGGAGGGGAAUGGUACCUUUCUUCCUCAUUGUACAGUUGCAAGUUAGUUGUGCAGCUGUUAAACAGAUAAAGUUGCACGAGUCUGGUGAUGCCUAACUCUCCAACGACCUGGUUUUGCUAAGGAGGAUGCAAGUUCAUGAAGGAACUGAAGAAGAAUAGGAAGACGACCAUAAUCUACAUUGUGUCAGCAGAUUUUAGUAGUGGUCCUUGUGUUAAAAUAUACAGUGUUCAAACGAGAGGAUAAAUUACUGUUAUGAAAUAUAUUAUGGAUGUCCAAUACACAAAUAUAAUGCCUCUCCUCCACCAUCUUAAUGGUUCCUCCAUUUUCUCAUAUAUUGAAUGCAUAUGUAGCACUAUAAAUAGAGGCAUAAGUUUUCAUAUGAAAUACACUUGUAACACAUUUUGGAAGAAUAGUAAAAAUCUCUCCUCUUUUGUCA